UACGUAGGGGGCUAGCGUUGUCCGGAAUCAUUGGGCGUAAAGCGCGCGUAGGCGGUCAGGUAAGUCCGGUGUGAAAGUCAAAGGCUCAACCUUUGAAUGCCGCUGGAUACUGCUUGACUUGAGUCCGGAAGGGGCGAGUGGAAUUCCUGGUGUAGCGGUGAAAUGCGCAGAUAUCAGGAGGAACACCGAUGGCGAAGGCAGCUCGCUGGGACGGUACUGACGCUGAGGCGCGAAAGCUAGGGGAGCAAACGGG
rnacentral:rRNA from 1 species